rnacentral:tRNA from 1 species
GCCUGAGUGGUUCAGUUGGUUGAGCAUCUGACUCUUGAUUUUAGCCCAAGUCAUGAUCUCACCGUUUGUGGGAUCGAGUCCCACAUCAGGCU